GGCCACACACAAGUCACACAAAAACCGAGCAAACGCAAAGCAGCAGAAACGGUGUGUACGGAAAACGGUGCGGAACUAGUAUUUCCAGGCCGUUCCAAAGAACCACUAGAGCAAGAAACCGUCCGGUCUAGGGGGUCUGGUCACUGUUAAUGGGUGUAUAGUUCCUGCGCGACUAUCGGAGCGACACGAGCUGCCACAAGCGACGAGCGGCACCAGUCGGGCUGACAGCUGUUUCAGAGAUCGUAGAUCUGUGCGAGCGCGACGAAGGGCGGCGCAGUGGGACAAAUUGCAGGGGGAGGGGGGGAAGUGCAGAGUGGCUAACGUUCAUAGAGCACGCGAUCGCUCUGCAAAGCUGCAAACGAUUGCGCGAUACGCGGUGCUGAAAAGCAAAGACGUGCGACAUCGCGAAUCAUACGCAGGCGGCAGUCAGCAGGCAGUGCUCGGCCAUCUUCAGUGUGGAAGCCUCUUCUCUCCUCUCCCACCGAAUUAUACCAACCUGCACAAGAAUGGCGCACCGAGUACACACCGGCUCUUCAUCCAGCUGCCUGACAGCUGUCACCAUACGGAGGGAAGGUUCAUAGUGUGUGUGUCUUGCGCACAACCGUGUGUGUUACGCGCACUCACCAAUGCCACGUGUAAACUUCGCCGCUGAAGCGUAAUUCCUGGAGCAGUCGCCAGGAAGCACACACACACUUUGACAUUGACGCGUACCUUUUUCGUCCUGUCGUGUGAGCAAGUGGUGCUGCCAGAUUUGUACACUGUAAUGAUUGCCCUCAGCGUUCGACCCGUAAUGACGCAAGCACCACUGCCGUUGAUGUUCUCCCUUCCAGCAGCAACAUAAUUCACGACCACGACCUAAACUCAGCCCCGUGUACUAAGAACCCACCGAACCCGAAGCAGAAGCAGAAACGAUGCGUUGGUAAUGCAUGGACCUAACCAACAACUACUAGCCCACAACCACUGUUACCACUUCCGAGGUUCUCCACUCUCACGCGGGAUGAUGUAGCAAGGAACAACAAUACCAGGGUGAGCCAAUUCGUUGGCUAAACGUCUGACAAUUACACGUUCAACGUGCAACACUCGGCCUCGGUGUAAUCAGAAGUGAAGAUAAAUUAUUACCGGUGAAAGUAGGUCAGCCGGUGAGAAGCAGGGCUCUGGGGGAAGAUCCAUUGUCUGCCACCGGGCUACACCCGGAAAGGCGGCUAAUAAGAACCAGCAGGAGCGUUGGGCACGUUGAAGAAAGCCAUUCUAACGAGUGAUGAAAUAUGGUACGUGUUUUUCCCCCCCAAGUACAUGAUACAUGGUUCUCCCCAACAAGGCCCCAACUGAACCUUAAGGACCGCUAAUUGUCGGGUUGUAUUGUCAAGCUUGAAACAUCAACUAUAUCGGCCGCAUAUAAUGACAUUAAUCGUAGUACAUGGGCUCAUCGAUCCGGGUUCCAGGGUAGCGCACCCCAGUAAAUCCCGAUGUACGUUGGGCUGUCUAUGCCUAGUGUUCAAUAGCAGGUCUAACUACAGCACGGCAGCAAGGAAUGCAAUCGAAGUAGGUGUACCGUGUCUGGAGCAUCGUUCAUCGUUUUCGAUAUUUUCACCCGAACCAGAUUAAGGACGACCGGCUGAAACAUUCCUUUCUGUAGAAUACUUUCCGCCCGGUCCCGGUAAACGUUUAGUCGAUUGUUUGUGGUUGUACAAUUCUCGGUAAAAGUGCCCACAUGGGGCACAGCUUGAGCCUAAGCUGAGGGUGCAUUGUGUGCUGUCAUGGUUUUGUUGUACUCCUUUGUGGUCAACACGCAAUGCUUGUUACUCUCCCUUUCUCUCUCUCUCUCUCCUCUUGCAUGAGGUGCGUGAAGGAAACCCAGAAGGUGGCUUUUCGGUCGGUUGCAUGUGGGUAUGGAUCCAAACCUGGAUACGGAUCUCUUUGCUACGUGGUGCUUCAAAGUAACCGCAAAUCUGCUCAUUCGCCCAGCAGAGGUACUACAGCACUGGAACAGGGCUGACUGCACAUACCUUCGUACUGAGGGCGCUCUGUUGGCCGUAUGAUUUCCACUUCUUGAAUCAUUUUGCACUCCAGAUGGACCCGAUCUGAGAUUGGGGAUUCAUUAAAGCGGAUUCCGAACGAAUGCGGCGCCAGGAAAAUUCCAAACAAAAAUGCAUCCCCUUUAAAUCUCUGCAUCUCUGUACAGUGCUUAAGCGAAGCCUGGUAGCUACCCAGACCGGACAUGCAGAUGAUGAUGAUGAUAACAUCAAUUAUGGUUUUUUUUUUUGUUUUGCUGUUUAUUGUGCCUUCCUGAAACAUUAAUUACGCUCACUAAUUACUCGCUCGUCGGAGAAAAUGUUCCUUACUUUCGCAGCGCUCUCGCGGAAGCGCUCGAAUGAGUUCAUGCCCUUCAAUGCGCACUCAAAAAAGCUUCCCGUGCGUGCGCUCGCGUGCGGAAAGCGGAAAGUUUUAUAUGCUAACAGUAGCUGUAGCAACAGCGGCAACAGUAAAACCUUGCCUAUGCUGGAUUCGGGGGUUUGAGUUUGAAGCUAAUUUUCGAGAGAAACCAUGAUGUUAGAGAAACACUCCAAACAAAAUGAACUCUUUUUUAAUAAAGCUAAAUAGCAUCAAUACUAACCCAAAAGUAAUGUAAGAGCUUUAAAUGUGAAAUGUUUGUAUUUUCUCAUUCUUGAUCACCAAAUAAAGAAAUUGAGUCUUCAAAACUACCUUAAAUUUUAUUAAAUUCUAGUCACAAUACUACUAUUACGAAUGUUGGAAACAACACUCUAACAUCAGACAUUUU